AAUAAAAGCGGGAAAAGGCUGACUCGGACUUUUACCUUACAUUUGCAUUGGUAUUAUUUGGGUCUGAAAUCCAAAGAACAAAAAUUAAGAAAUUGCUCAAAUUUUGGAAAAUGGCCUUUUAUGAGCUAUUGAAGUCUUUUAUACAAAGAAAAAGGGGUGUUAUGGGGCAAAAUAUUUUACCCUGUAUUGAUGGAAAAAUACCAAGGAGUCCGAACAUUUGACACCAAUUUCCAAAACCUCACCUAAGUACAUCCUUAAGACACAAG
rnacentral:lncRNA from 1 species